AUGCAUGAGAGCAUCAGAUCUUUCGGACGACUGUGUGAUCACGCUUUCCGUAGCCGACGUGAGAAGACCUUUAAACAGGUCAACAUACACAAGGCUGCGGGGCCAGACAGAUUACCAGGACGUGUCCCCCGGGCAUGUGCUGACCAACUAGCAGGUGUCUUCACUGACAUCUUCAUUGACAUUUCCCUGAUUGAGUCUGUAAUACCAACAUGUUUCAAGCAGACCACCAUAGUCCAUGUGCCCAAGAACCCAAAGGCAACCUGCCUAAAUGACUACAGACCCGUAGCACUCACGUCCGUAGCCAUGAAGUGCUUUGAAAGGUUGGUAAUGGCUCACAUCAACACCAUUAUGCCAGAAACCCUAGACACACUCCAAUUUGCAUACCGCCCAAACAGAUCCACAGAUGAUACAAUCUCUAUUGCACUCCACACUGCCCUUUCCCACCUGGACAAAAGGAACACUUAUGUGAGAAUGCUAUUCAUUGACUACAGCUCAGCGUUUAACACCAUAGUACCCUCAAAGCUCAUCACCAAGCUAAGGAUCCUGGGACUAAACACUUCCCUCUGCAACUGGAUCCUGGACUUCCUGACGGGCCGCCCCCAGGUGGUGAGGGUAGGAAGCAACACAUCUGCCAUGCUGAUCCUCAACACUGGAGCUCCCCAGGGGUGCGUGCUCAGUCCCCUCCUGUACUCCCUGUUCACCCACGACUGCAUGGCCAGGCACGACUCCAACACCAUCCUUAAGUUUGCAGACGACACAACAAUGGUAGGCCUGAUCACCGACAACGAAGAGACAGCCUAUAGGAAGGAGGUCAGAGACCUGGCCGGGUGGUACCAGAAUAACAACCUAUCCCUCAAAGUAACCAAGACUAAGGAGAUAAUUGUGGACUACAGGAAAAGGAGGACAGAGCACGCCCCCAUUCUCAUCGACGGGGCUGUAGUGGAGCAGGUUGAGAGCUUCACGUUCUUUGGUGUCCACAUCAACAACAAUCUAGAAUGGUCCAAACACACCAAGACAGUCGUGAAGAAGGCACGACAAAGCCUAUUCCCCCUCAGGAAACGAAAAAUAUUUGGCAUGGGUGCUUAG
rnacentral:lncRNA from 13 species